AUACGUAGGGAGCGAGCGUUGUCCGGAUUUACUGGGUGUAAAGGGUGCGUAGGCGGCUCUGCAAGUCAGGUGUGAAAACCAUCGGCUUAACUGAUGGACUGCAUUUGAAACUGUGGGGCUUGAGUGGAGUAGAGGCAGACGGAAUUCCCGGUGUAGCGGUGAAAUGCGUAGAGAUCGGGAAGAACACCAGUGGCGAAGGCGGUCUGCUGGGCUCUAACUGACGCUGAGGCACGAAAGCAUGGGUGGCAAACAGGAUUAGAUACCCUGGUAGUCCAUGCCGUAAACGAUGAUUACUAGGUGUGGGGAGUCUGACCCUCUCCGUGCCGGAGUUAACACAAUAAGUAUCCCGCCUGGGGAGUACGGCCGCAAGGUUGAA
rnacentral:rRNA from 1 species